GGAGGCAUGGCUCAGCUGGGAGAGCAUCUGCCUUACAAGCAGAGGGUCACUGGUUCGAGCCCAGUUGUCUCCACCA
rnacentral:tRNA from 1 species